CAAGAAACCCACGGGAGUCCGGGCACCGGGCUGAGAGGGAGGCUGAAGCGGCCUCCGACCGUAGAACCUGAUCCGGGUAAUGCCGGCGCAGGGAGGAGUGCGUCGUGGACG
rnacentral:ncRNA from 2 species